rnacentral:rRNA from 1 species
UGCUUACACAUGCAAGUCGAACGAUGAACCGGUUUCGGCCGGGGAUUAGUGGCGAACGGGUGAGUAACACGUGGGCAAUCUGCCCUGCACUCUGGGACAAGCCCUGGAAACGGGGUCUAAUACCGGAUAUGACCACCGGCCGCAUGGUCUGGUGGUGGAAAGCUCCGGCGGUGCAGGAUGAGCCCGCGGCCUAUCAGCUUGUUGGUGGGGUGAUGGCCUACCAAGGCGACGACGGGUAGCCGGCCUGAGAGGGCGACCGGCCACACUGGGACUGAGACACGGCCCAGACUCCUACGGGAGGCAGCAGUGGGGAAUAUUGCACAAUGGGCGCAAGCCUGAUGCAGCGACGCCGCGUGAGGGAUGACGGCCUUCGGGUUGUAAACCUCUUUCAGCAGGGAAGAAGCGCGAGUGACGGUACCUGCAGAAGAAGCACCGGCUAACUACGUGCCAGCAGCCGCGGUAAUACGUAGGGUGCGAGCGUUGUCCGGAAUUAUUGGGCGUAAAGAGCUCGUAGGCGGCCUGUCGCGUCGGAUGUGAAAGCCCGGGGCUUAACCCCGGGUCUGCAUUCGAUACGGGCAGGCUAGAGUUCGGCAGGGGAGAUUGGAAUUCCUGGUGUAGCGGUGAAAUGCGCAGAUAUCAGGAGGAACACCGGUGGCGAAGGCGGAUCUCUGGGCCGAUACUGACGCUGAGGAGCGAAAGCGUGGGGAGCGAACAGGAUUAGAUACCCUGGUAGUCCACGCCGUAAACGUUGGGCACUAGGUGUGGGCGGCAUUCCACGUCGUCCGUGCCGCAGCUAACGC